rnacentral:rRNA from 1 species
GAUGAACGCUAGCGGCAGGCCUAAUACAUGCAAGUCGAACGGUGUAGCAAUACACAGUGGCGCACGGGUGCGUAACACGUAUGCAACCUACCUAUUAUUGGGGGAUAGCCUUUGGAAACGGAGAUUAAUACCGCAUAAGACAGUGACAUGGCAUCAUGUAGCUGUUAAAGCUUUGGCGAUAAUAGAUGGGCAUGCGUCCAAUUAGUUAGUUGGUGAGGUAAUGGCUCACCAAGACGAUGAUUGGUAGGGGAUCUGAGAGGAUAAUCCCCCACACUGGCACUGAGAUACGGGCCAGACUCCUACGGGAGGCAGCAGUAGGGAAUAUUGGGCAAUGGGCGGAAGCCUGACCCAGCCAUGCCGCGUGCAGGAUGACGGCGUUAUGCGUUGUAAACUGCUUUUUUAUAGGAAGAAGGAGACCUUGCGAGGUUUGGUGACGGUACUAUAAGAAUAAGCACCGGCUAACUCCGUGCCAGCAGCCGCCGUAAUAC